GAUCAUGGCUCAGGACGAACGCUGGCGGCGUGCCUAACACAUGCAAGCCGAACGGAACUGUUUUGAAAGAUUUCUUCGGAAUGAAUUUGAUUUAGUUUAGUGGCGGACGGGUGAGUAACGCGUGAGUAACCUGCCUUCAAGAGGGGGAUAACAUUCUGAAAAGAAUGCUAAUACCGCAUGACAUAUCGGAAUCACAUGGUUUUGAUAUCAAAGAUUUUAUCGCUUGAAGAUGGACUCGCG
rnacentral:rRNA from 1 species